rnacentral:lncRNA from 10 species
AACAGCUGAGCACUGUGGAGGCGGAAGAUACAGAGAGCUCCAUUGCAGCCACAGUGAUGGAUGGCAUCGAUAGAGAAAAUCCCACAAAAGAGCUUGACUUUUCUCAUGAAUCUGCAGUUUCUUCCGAAAAAGUGAAAUUUUAUCAAAUGAAACAAUUGAGAAGCAGACACAGAAGUCAAACUUUUUCAAUAAGCUAAAUUGGAAGAAAGGGCUUAGCACACGGUGUUUCCUAAUCUUUCCUGCCAACCAUUUAUUUAAGCUCAGAUCUUGGGAAGCCCAUCUAAGGGCUUCCAAAGAGAAAAUGCUACUUAUCAAGAAUCAUGCCUUUCCUGUUGCAGAGUAGAAGUAAACAAAAUCAAGAAAUCUCCAAUGCUCACACAAUUUUAACAGGUUUGGCCAAUACAACAGAGACGUGAAAACCAACAGAUGUCCCCCACCAAUCCAGGAAUGAGUGAAUUCUUGCUCUAUCAGGACCUGUGAGACUUCCCUCAAGAGCUGGUUGUUAAAAAGAGCCUAGGACCUCUUCCCUCUCUUGCUUCCUCUCUUGCCUUGUGAUCUUCACAUCCUGACUCUCCUUCACCUUCCACUCUGAGUGGAAGUUUCCUGAGGCUCUCGCAAGAAGCAGAUAUCGGCACCAUGCUUCUUUUACAGUCUUCAUAGUCCUGAGAACAAAAUCUAAAUCCUAGGAUUCCUUGACAUUCUGUUACUGAGAGUCUGCAGUCUCAAGACUUUAAGGAUAAUAGUUCCAAAGGAAUGUUAUCUGUACGUUUUUUCUGAGUAAACACUUCCAUUUCAAGCAAAACAUUUGGGAUUCUAUUUGUUGGCUGUUUCUCCAGCUUCCAUUUCCC